AAGUCGUAACAAGGUUUCCGUAGGUGAACCUGCGGAAGGAUCAAUACAAAAAGAGAAUUGAGUGGAGCUGGGGGAGUUUUGACGGCGAUUCGGAGGGGAUGAACUGAUCAGAUCGAGUUGAGCGUGUCGAGAUGACGACCGGUGGGAGAAGACUGGUCAGAUCGAAUUGAAUCGGGAUGACGACUGGUGGGAAGAGGAUUGGUCAGAUCGAGUUGAACGCGUCGGGAUGACGACCGGUCACCCAUGAUCGUGGAUCGCUGUACUCUAGCCCCCGACCACACAUAUGCCCGGACUGCAACAGGUCCGUGACAUUUGCGCAUGUAGAGUUUGACAGAGUUGGAUGGUUGGCAACAAAGAGACAACUUUUAACAAUGGAUCUCUUGGCUCCU
rnacentral:misc_RNA from 1 species